AAAAAUUUAGUUAAAUCACGCAUAACGUUAGCUUGUCAAGCUAAAAUUAUUAAUAUUAAUAAUUUUUA
rnacentral:tRNA from 1 species